UCCGUAGGGUGAACCUGCGGGUUAGGUGUUGGGGGGGUCGGUUACUCCAACCCCUGUGAACAUACCAAUUGUUGCCUCGGCGGAUCAGCCCGCUCCCGGUAAAACGGGACGGCCCGCCAGAGGACCCCUAAACUCUGUUUCUAUAUGUAACUUCUGAGUAAAACCAUAAAUAAAUCAAAACUUUCAACAACGGAUCUCUUGGUUCUGGCAUCGAUGAAGAACGCAGCAAAAUGCGAUAAGUAAUGUGAAUUGCAGAAUUCAGUGAAUCAUCGAAUCUUUGAACGCACAUUGCGCCCGCCAGUAUUCUGGCGGGCAUGCCUGUUCGAGCGUCAUUUCAACCCUCAAGCCCAGCUUGGUGUUGGGACUCGCGAGUCAAAUCGCGUUCCCCAAAUUGAUUGGCGGUCACGUCGAGCUUCCAUAGCGUAGUAGUAAAACCCUCGUUACUGGUAAUCGUCGCGGCCACGCCGUUAAACCCCAACUUCUGAAUGUUGACCUCGGAUCAGGUAGGAAUACCCGCUGAACUUAAGCAUAUCAAUAAGCCGGAGGA
rnacentral:rRNA from 1 species